GACUAACGCUGGCGGUAUGCCUUAGACAUGCAAGUCGAACGGUAAGGCCCUUCGGGGUACACGAGUGGCGAACGGGUGAGUAACACGUGUGUGAUCUGCCCUGCACUUCGGGAUAAGCCUGGGAAACUGGGUCUAAUACCGGAUAGGACUCCUGCCUGCAUGGGUGGGGGUGGAAAGCUUUUGUGGUGUGGGAUGGGCCCGCGGCCGGUCAGCUUGUUGGUGGGGGGAUGGCCUACCAAGGCGACGACGGGUGGCCGGCCUGAGAGGGUGACCGGCCACAAUGGGACUGAGAUACGGCCCAGACUCCUACGGGAGGCAGCAGUGGGGAAUAUUGCACAAUGGGCGCAAGCCUGAUGCAGCGACGCCGCGUGAGGGAUGACGGCCUUCGGGUUGUAAACCUCUUUCAGCACAGACGAAGCGCAAGUGACGGUAUGUGCAGAAGAAGGACCGGCCAACUACGUGCCAGCCGCCGCCGUAA
rnacentral:rRNA from 1 species